UACGUAGGGUGCGAGCGUUGUCCGGAAUUACUGGGCGUAAAGAGCUCGUAGGUGGUUUGUCGCGUUGUUCGUGAAAACUCACAACUCAAUUGUGGGCGUGCGGGCGAUACGGGCAGACUGGAGUACUGCAGGGGGAGACUGGAAUUCCUGGUGUAGCGGUGGAAUGCGCAGAGUAUCAGGAGGAACACCGGUGGCGAAGGCGGGUCUCUGGGCAGUAACUGACGCUGAGGAGCGAAAGCGUGGGGAGC
rnacentral:rRNA from 1 species